CAGUAGCCGCGGGAAUACGUAGGGUGCGAGCGUUAAUCGGAAUUACUGGGCGUAAAGCGUGCGCAGGCGGUUUUGUAAGACAGGCGUGAAAUCCCCGGGCUCGACCUGGGAAUGGCGCUUGUGACUGCAAAGCUAGAGUGCGGCAGAGGGGGAUGGAAUUCCGCGUGUAGCAGUGAAAUGCGUAGAUAUGCGGAGGAACACCGAUGGCGAAGGCAAUCCCCUGGGCCUGCACUGACGCUCAUGCACGAAAGCGUGGGGAGCAAACAGGAUUAGAGACCCCUGUAGUCCCUGUCUCUUAUAC
rnacentral:rRNA from 1 species